AUUGAACGCUGGCGGCAGGCCUAACACAUGCAAGUCGAACGGUAACAGGAAGCAGCUUGCUGCUUUGCUGACGAGUGGCGGACGGGUGAGUAAUGUCUUGGAAACUGCCUGAUGGAGGGGGAUAACUACUGGAAACGGUAGCUAAUACCGCAUAACGUCGCAAGACCAAAGAGGGUGACCUUAGGGCCUCUUGCCAUCGGAUGUGCCCAGAUGGGAUUAGCUAGUAGGUGGGGUAACGGCUCACCUAGGCGACCAUCCCUAGCUGGUCUGAGAGGAUGAUCAGCCACACUGGAACUGAGACACGGUCCAGACUCCUACGGGAGGCAGCAGUGGGGAAUAUUGCACAAUGGGCGCAAGCCUGAUGCAGCCAUGCCGCGUGUAUGAAGAAGGCCUUCGGGUUGUAAAGUACUUUCAGCGGGGAGGAAGGGAGUAAAGUUAAUACCUUUGCUCAUUGACGUUACCCGCAGAAGAAGCACCGGCUAACUCCGUG
rnacentral:rRNA from 1 species